CAGAAAUAAUAGCUUUUGUCUACCAAAGCUGCAGAGUCCUGUUGCCAGGCAACUCAGUCCUGAGGCAACAAAACAGAGAGGAACGGGUGUGUGGGAGGACCAAGCCUGAGUGCAAGAGCUGCUGCUUGUGCUGCUGUUAUGAAGAGCAAUAAGAGCUGUAGAAUGGGUACUGUAACGUCUUUACAAACAAGUUUUUGAAGUAAGAUGCUUCUAGCUCAGGAGAACAUUGAAGGCACAUUGAAAUCCUCCUGAAAACUCUAAGCCAGUUCUUAACUGCUCUUUGAAAUCAAGGCUGAGGUGAGUCUAAUUUUCAUGCAUCCUUUCUGAAAUCCCUCUCUUCCUUAUUCUUGCAAAUGAGCUGUCCUGCAGUAAAGUUGGUGGAAUGAUAAUUUUCAAGCCAAAGUUGGAGAGAAUUUGUUAGAAACAGGAAUUUGGAGUUCAGAAUCUCUGCCAGAGAUCUGAUGCAACGAGCGAUAUUCAUCCAACAGGGAAACUGUGCUAUGCAGAAUGUGUCUAGCUGAAUUUUACUCACAGCAAAGUGCUCUUGGAUCAGUUCCAAGGCAAUAAUUAUUGGAUACUGGG
rnacentral:lncRNA from 1 species